rnacentral:rRNA from 1 species
GUGGGGAAUCUUCCGCAAUGGACGAAAGUCUGACGGAGCGACGCCGCGUGAGUGAAGAAGGCCUUCGGGUCGUAAAGCUCUGUCAUCAGGGACGAACGGCCGGUGGAGUGGAAAGCCACCGGAUUGACGGUACCUGAGAAGGAAGCCACGGCUAACUACGUGCCAGCAGCCGCGGUAAUACGUAGGUGGCAAGCGUUGUCCGGAAUUAUUGGGCGUAAAGCGCGCGAAGGUGGGAUCUUAAGUCCAUUUUUAAAGUUCGGAGCUCAACUCCGUGAUGGGAUGGAAACUGGGAGUCUUGAGUACCGGAGAGGAAAGCGGAAUUCCCCGUGUAGCGGUGAAAUGCGUAGAUAUGGGGAGGAACACCAGUGGCGAAGGCGGCUUUCUGGACGGUGUCUGACACUGAGGCGCGAAAGCCAGGGGAGCGAACGGGAUUAGAAACCCCGGUAGUCC